rnacentral:lncRNA from 1 species
ACUACCAAAAGUUAAGCUCCAAACUUUAGUAGGAAAAACACAAUUACAAAAGAGAUGACAUUGAUCUUCUUCAGUUCUAUUAAAUAAUGGACAUAACUUAUCAACAGAGACAGUUCAUUAAUAUGUAGUUCAGUUUUUUAAUUUUUAAUUUUUUAUAAUUAGAGGUGAUAAAAUCACCUGUAAGUGAGGCUUAAACAAACAACAGCAAAAUUUUGUUUUGUAAAAUUACGUUAUUGUCUUUAACAUUUUUUUAUGAUAGAAGACAUAAAUAUUUUUUUGGAAAAAUUACACUUAGAGUAUACUUUCAAUACUUAAUUAUAUAUUGAGACAACACUUUUUAAACAUUUCAAGAAAGGACAUUUUUAAAUUCUGCGUAAGAUGACGUCAUGUCAGAUUUUUCCGUUCGAAACGGAGUCCCGUAUUUUGUUAAAUAGCGAUCGGUGGUGAUUCGAAUCAUUCGAAUAAUAUUUUUUGUUUUCUCGUAUGUUUUUCUUUCUCUCUGAAGUUUAUCUCUUCUGAUUUAUAUUUCAUCAUCUCCCUCAAUUAUCUCUCUCCAUAAUUUCUAUUCGAAUCAUUCAAGCUUUCUUCGAAGGUAAGUGUUUAUCUCAUGUUUAUCUCUCUGAAUUUUAUGUGUUCCAAUUUAGAUUUUCGAAGUGUUUGUGUGUUUUUGAAUUUGUUUUGGUUUUGAUUUUGAAAGAGUCUCUGAUUUUUCAAUUUUUGAUUCGUGCAUUUAGUUUUUUUGGAUUGUUCUUGUUUUUUCAGUCACGGUUUUUUAGUUUUGAAGAUUUUGAUUUGGUUUUGAGCUUAUUUGAUCGAGUGUUUGGUGAAGGCGAUUUUUCGUUGUGCUGCUUUUGGUUUUCAUUGAAAUUCCUUUUGUUUUUUGCAGUAUAGUUAUCAUAUAUAUUAGUUUAUGUAGCAUCAGUUCAUAGAAUCGUACAAAAUCAAUUGGCAUAAGUUUUUUUGGGGGGGGCACCCCCAUAAACAUUUAAUAUUUUUCAAUGUAAUACGUGUUAGAAAUGUGCCCUAAAGCCAAUCAUAUGAUGAUCUAGUUUAAUAUAAAGGGAAAAGAUUAUUGUUUAAAGCCGUCUCAUAUAAAUGUUAUAUGCUUAAACGAUAAGUCCAAGGAAUAUGUAAUUGGGAGAAUGUGAUCUAAAGAAGUUAGAUUCAUGAGACCAUUCUCUUUAGUAUACAUAUCCUAAAUGUUCUUGAUCAUAGGAUUGCCAAUUGGACAUUGAUAGUCCGUUAUGAUCAGUACAUGAUAUGUCUUCUUUUAGAGAGAGUGAUUGGUCUCGAGUCAUUGGUGUGACUGACACCAAGACAAGCAUGUAGGUGCUCAAUAGAGCAUGGGUUCAUUGAACACGAUCAACAAUGAGUUCUCAUACUCAUGUCACAUGAGAACUCAUGGUUGGGAUAAUGCAAAGUAGUCAUUUGAGCAUCAUAGUUGUCUUAUGGUUAGGUCCUUGAUCUUUGACUAUGUCAAAGUCAUUCCGUCAAAGGGUGUCCACGACAUAGUUGGGGUUAAGCCACUUAGUCAUGGAGGCAAGUGAAUGCAUAACAAGGGAUCUCUAACCUUCAAACCAUUUGAGGGAGAAUUCUCUAUGAUAUGAUUAAGAAUCUUUGGCCAGAGUAUGAAUGAGAUUUAGAAAGUCGUUCCAAAUCAUGUUCAAGGUAAUCAUAUAAGUAAGAGAAUCACAUUGUAUAGUAGACAUGAAUAAACUAUCAAACCAAAACAAUGUGGUCAAGAGUAUUGUAGUAGAGAAAGACCGUAUUGCAUUGUAAUCCCAAACUGAAUAGGUUCUCCACCAUUUCUGAUU